GUCACGUGUUGAUUGUGUAAAUGAAGCCUCUAAGAAAAGUGCUAGGAAGCAAAGAAGAAUAGAAGAGUGCCAGCUGAAACACAUUUUCAGGGGGCCACACAAGAAAAGACUACAGCAGAAGUCCAUUCGAAACCUCCCAGUGGGGUAGGAGUGUACAACUCACCACAGCAUGUCCGAGCCAUCCAUCCACCAACAACCGUUGGGCAACGCUUAGCAGUUCUCAACAUCUAUAAAGUUCCCUCUGUCGUCACGGUGUGUGACCUUGGAGAUGCCGCAGGUGAAGGGA
rnacentral:lncRNA from 1 species